UACAGAGGGGGCAAGCGUUGUUCGGAAUUACUGGGCGUAAAGGGCGCGUAGGCGGCCUGUUAAGUCGAACGUGAAAUCCCCGGGCUCAACCGGGGAACUGCGUCCGAUACUGGCAGGCUUGAAUCCGGGAGAGGGAUGCGGAAUUCCAGGUGUAGCGGUGAAAUGCGUAGAUAUCUGGAGGAACACCGGUGGCGAAGGCGGCAUCCUGGACCGGCAUUGACGCUGAGGCGCGAAAGCUAGGGGAGCAAACGGG
rnacentral:rRNA from 1 species